AACGUAGGAGCCAAGCGUUAUCCGAAUUCACUGGGCGUAAAGCGCGUGCAGGCGGCUGGGUAAGUUGGAUGUGGAAUCUCCUGGCUCAACUGGGAGAGGCCGUUCAAUACUACCUGGCUUGAGGGCGACAGAGGGAGGUGGAAUUCCGGGUGUAGUGGUGAAAUGCGUAGAUAUCCGGAGGAACACCAGAGGCGAAGGCGACCUCCUGGGUCGUACCUGACGCUGAGAUGCGAAAGCUAGGGGAGCAAACGGG
rnacentral:rRNA from 1 species